rnacentral:rRNA from 1 species
UACGUAGGGUGCGAGCGUUGUCCGGAAUUACCGGGCGUAAAGAGCUCGUAGGUGGUUUGUCGCGUUGUUCGUGAAAACUCACAGCUCAACUGUGGGCGUGCGGGCGAUACGGGCAGACUGGAGUACUGCAGGGGAGACUGGAAUUCCUGGUGUAGCGGUGGAAUGCGCAGAUAUCAGGAGGAACACCGGUGGCGAAGGCGGGUCUCUGGGCAGUAACUGACGCUGAGGAGCGAAAGCGUGGGGAGCGAACAGG